rnacentral:tRNA from 1 species
GCGCCGUUAGCUCAAUUUGGUAGAGCAGCGGACUCUUAAUCCGUUGGUUGAAGGUUCGAGUCCUUCACGGCGUACCA